rnacentral:rRNA from 1 species
CAAUAGCGUAUAUUUAAGUUGUUGCAGUUAAAAAGCUCGUAGUUGGAUUUCUGGUUGGAGCGACCGGUCGGGCAUUGAUUUGUCUGCACUGGAGUCGGUUCUGGCCAUCCUCUUGGAAAGUGCGUCUGUCAUUAAGUUGUCGGGCGUAUGAUCCAGGUCUUUUACUGUGAAAAAAUUAGAGUGUUUAAAGCAGGCCUUCGCCUUGAAUACAUUAGCAUGGAAUAAUAAGAUAGGACUUUGGUCUAUUUUGUUGGUUUGCAGACCGAAGUAAUGAUUAAUAGGGAUAGUUGGGGGUAUUUAUAUUCCAAUGUCAGAGGUGAAAUUCUUAGAUUUUUGGAAGAUAAACUUAUGCGAAAGCAUUUACCAAGGAUGUUUUCAUUAA